AGAUAAGCCCGGGAAACUGGGUCUAAUACUGGAUGCUACAUGUCACCGCAUGGUGGUGUGUGGAAAGGGCUUACUGGUCUUGGAUGGGCUCACGGCCUAUCAGCUUGUUGGUGAGGUAAUGGCUCACCAAGGCGACGACGGGUAGCCGGCCUGAGAGGGUGACCGGCCACACUGGGACUGAGACACGGCCCAGACUCCUACGGGAGGCAGCAGUGGGGAAUAUUGCACAAUGGGCGAAAGCCUGAUGCAGCGACGCCGUGUGAGGGAUGACGGCCUUCGGGUUGUAAACCUCUUUCAGCAGGGAAGAAGCCACAAGUGACGGUACCUGCAGAAGAAGCGCCGGCUAACUACGUGCCAGCAGCCGCGGUAAUACGUAGGGCGCAAGCGUUGUCCGGAAUUAUUGGGCGCAAAGAGCUCGUAGGCGGUUUGUCGCGUCUGCUGUGAAAGCCCGGGGCUUAACCCCGGGUGUGCAGUGGGUACGGGCAGACUAGAGUGCAGUAGGGGAGACUGGAAUUCCUGGUGUAGCGGUGGAAUGCGCAGAUAUCAGGAGGAACACCGAUGGCGAAGGCAGGUCUCUGGGCUGUUACUGACGCUGAGGAGCGAAAGCAUGGGGAGCGAACAGGAUUAGAUACACUGCUAGUCCAUGC
rnacentral:rRNA from 1 species